UUUCUGUACAGCCUAAGAGAAUAAUCCAUUACAUAAUACAUAAUUGUAACAUGCAAUAUUUUAACUAUUAGGGUUAAUGAACAGUUAACUACAUCCUGAGUUUGAAGACUCCCUCCCAUGUUUAUUCAUGGCGGUUUUGUGAUAAAAUUACAUUUCCAUAGAUAAUUCUCACUGAUACAUAUAAAAUAUUAUUUGAAAUAAACAAAAUGUCAAAGUUGCAAGUGUCUGUAUUAUGAUUAGUGUACGAGCUUUCUUGUUGGUGACCUUUACAUUUUUAAUCAAAUUUAAUUUUGUUGUUAACAAUUACUGGACAACCACUGACUCUUCAGAAGCAUGUUAUGAAAAGCUAACA